AGAACAAACGCUGGCGGCGUGGAUAAGACAUGCAAGUCGAGCGCUGAUUAAAGGGUAGCAAUAUCUUUUAAUUGGAGCGGCGCAAGGGUGCGUAACACGUGGGUAAUUUGCCAUGAAGUUGGGGAUAACUUGCUGAAAGGCGAGCUAAUACCGAAUGUGGCCCGACGGAGACAUCUCUGUUUGGCUAAAGCUGGGGACCGCAAGGCCUGACGCUUCAUGAUAAACCCGCGGCCUAUCAGCUAGUUGGUGAGGUAACGGCCCACCAAGGCUAAGACGGGUAGCUGGUCUGAGAGGACGACCAGCCACACUGGAACUGAGAGACGGUCCAGACACCUACGGGUGGCAGCAGUCGAGAAUUUUUCACAA
rnacentral:rRNA from 1 species